rnacentral:rRNA from 1 species
CACGUAGGCACCAAGCGUUGUCCGGAUUUAUUGGGCGUAAAGAGCUCGUAGGCGGUUCGGUAAGUCGGGUGUGAAAUCCCUGGGCUCAACCCAGGAAGUGCACCCGAUACUGCUGUGACUUGAGUACGGUAGGGGAGUGCGGAAUUCCUGGUGUAGCGGUGGAAUGCGCAGAUAUCAGGAGGAACACCAAUGGCGAAGGCAGCACUCUGGGCCGAAACUGACGCUGAGGAGCGAAAGCGUGGGGAGCGAACAGG